rnacentral:rRNA from 1 species
AGAUAAGGGAUAGGUAAGGAAAUAAAUGAUAUGAAUGACAAUAAUACUGACGCAUGGAGGGCCAUGCUAACUGGGGAGUAUUUUUAUUUAUUAAAGAGAUAAAGAUAUGAAUAGUCAAGGACAAAGAAGUCAAGGACAAACCAAUCCGAGCUAGUAAUAGUGAUAAAGGACCUAUGUGGAACGAAGCAUCGAAGUAACAUAGGGUAUAACCAAUAGGGUCAAUAGUAGUACCGGUGAGGGAAACUAUUGAGUGCACUAGAGUAAUGCCUUGAGGCAUGAAUAUAGCAGUUACUACUGCUAAGGCAAACUAUACCAGUUAAGUAAGUGAGUACUGCGAAGGAAAGGUCUUUUAUUUAUAUCUUUCUUAUAUUAAUUUAAUUAAUUUAAUAUAGAUAAUAUAUAAAUAUUGAAAUGCGUUAGUAGAGAGCAGCUAUAGUAUAGCGUACCUCUUGUAUAAUGGGUCAGUGAGUUAACUUUUAUGGCGAAGCAUUAGCUUUAUGUAAUUAGUUAUAUAUGAAUCCUAUAAUUAUUAUUAUAGGUUAUAAUAUAUUUAGUCAUAAUAGUUAGACCCGAAGGCAUAUGAUCUAGGCAUGACUAAGUUUAUAUAAUUAUAUAUUAAAUUAUAUAAGACUGAAUACGUAGACGUUGCAAUGUCUUGUAGAGAGUUGUGUCUAGUAGUGAAAGGCAAAUCUGAUAUGCUGAUAGCUGGUUAUCUGCGAAAUAUAUGUUAGUAUAGCCCUUAUAAUUAUCAACUUAGGUAAAGCACUGAAAAUGACAUCUUUUUCUCUUUUAAUAGAAGAUAAAUAGAUUUAGGGGGAUUGUUUGAUCUACCCUACAUUUUUAACCUCUGAAACUAGUGUUAAUAUAAUAUGAGGAGUCAGUCUUAUUGCGAUAAGGUAGUAGGACUAAAGGGGAAUAACCCAGACCAUUAUGUGAAGGUCCCUUACAAUUACUGAGUGGAUCAAAUCCUAUACAUAUUUAUAUGGUACCUUGAGUAGCCCAUCAGUCGGUGGUGUUGAUAGUACACACCCGUUAACAAUCGUGUAACAACGUACUGAUUAAAGCCUAGUUAAUUAUAUAUAUAUAUAUAUUAAUUAUAUAUAUAUAUUUAUCUCUCAAGGAAUAGGAGUAGAUAUCCGGGCCUAAGUAAUUGACCGAACAAUGGAUUAAUAAAUGAAUAAUAAUUUAUUAAUGGUAGCAGAUUAUACUAUAAUAAUAAUAGUAAAAAUAAUGCUGACUUGAGUAAUGAUAGAGAGGAUAAGCCUCUCCCUACAAAAUACAAGGUGUCACUGUCAACUAACGGUCUCUAACAUUAAAUCCUAAUGGUUUUAUUGGAUGAGUAAUAUUACAUGAAAUUAUAUUAACCGUACCGCAGACCGACCCAGGUGUAUAAUAAUUAAUUAUAAUUAUAAUAAUAUAUAUAUAUAAUUAAUAAGUAGGAACGGGUAAACUGUAUUGAAUGAACUCGGCAAAUAGGAACAAGGUUCUAAGCAGCGCGACUGUUCACCACAAACACAACCUAUUGCGAAUGGGAAACCAUAAGUAUAAUAGGUGAUGCCUGCCCAGUGCAAGCACGAUAAGUCUUUAACAAGGUUAAGGGGCUUGUCAACGGCGGCCUUACCAUGAGGGUCCGAAGGUAGCGUAAUACCUAGGCACUUAAUUGGUGUCCCGCAUGAAUGAUCACACGACGCUGCAACUGUAUCCAAUGCAGACCCGAUGAACUAGUAAUAGCAGUGAAGAUACUGCUAUGCCAUAGUAGGACAAGAAGACCCUAUGCAGCUUAACUAUACCCAUUAAUUGCUUAUCAUCAUAAUAUCAGGUUUAUCUUAUAUUUUUCUUUUAUAAGCUAAAAGUUUUUAUUUACUUUACCAUUUAUGGGGGUUAGUUCCGAUGGGGCGUCGGCAUCACACAACGCAACUGAUGCGUCUAAUUAACUUAAGGUUAAUAACCUUUUCUUUUAUCUUUACAUAAUUCAUUUAUUCUUUAUUUGUUUUAUGUAUUUAUUAGUUUAUUUAUGUAUGGUUUUACUAGCUGGCAACUAGUUUCUUUGAAUAAUAGCUUAACCAUGCAUUGACUACAACACUUACUAGUGAAGUAGGCACUUACGUGUAGUAUAGUGAACAGGCAGCAUCAUUUAGUUUCUGAGUGUCGAUAACGGAUCACAGUUACGCUAGGGAUAACAGGGUAAUCCCGCUAGAGAGUUGAUAUCGCCAGCGGGGUUUGCCACCUCGAUGUCGUCUAGGCUCAUCCUCCCGGUCGUAGCCGCUGGGAAGGGUAUGACUGUUCGUCAUGUAACGAGCCACUUGAGAUGGGUUAAAUACGACGUGAGUCAGUAUGGAUUAUAUCCUCUAUGGCCCCUACAUAUACAUUGAUACCUCGUGUACGAAAGGAUAGAGGUGUACUACCCUAUGGUAUAUGGUUAUAUAUAUCUUUUAUUAUAUAUACCCUUAAGCUAAGGUAGACUUGAUUAGUACUGAAUGCAUCUAGGUACGAAGCAGCAUGUAACAGUAGUUUGAAUCGUUAUAUACUAUAACGUAUUGGCUAUAUAUAUAUCUAUUAUUAAUAAUAGAUAUUAUCCUUAAAUUGAGGAUAAGCUCAUUUUUCAUAGUCAUUCAUAUCUUAAUCAUAUAUUAUUAUAAUAAAUAUAAUAGUAAAUGAUAAAA